rnacentral:rRNA from 1 species
GACGAACGCUGGCGGCGUGCUUAACACAUGCAAGUCGAACGGAAAGGCCCUGCUUUUGUGGGGUGCUCGAGUGGCGAACGGGUGAGUAGCACGUGAGUAACCUGCCCUUGACUUUGGGAUAACUUCAGGAAACUGGGGCUAAUACCGGAUAGGAGCUCCUGCUGCAUGGUGGGGGUUGGAAAGUUUCGGCGGUUGGGGAUGGACUCGCGGCUUAUCAGCUUGUUGGUGGGGUAGUGGCUUACCAAGGCUUUGACGGGUAGCCGGCCUGAGAGGGUGACAGGCCACAUUGGGACUGAGAUACGGCCCAGACUCCUACGGGAGGCAGCAGUGGGGAAUAUUGCACAAUGGGCGGAAGCCUGAUGCAGCAACGCCGCGUGCGGGAUGACGGCCUUCGGGUUGUAAACCGCUUUCGCCUGUGACGAAGCGUGAGUGACGGUAAUGGGUAAAGAAGCACCGGCUAACUACGUG